rnacentral:rRNA from 1 species
UGGGGAAUAUUGCACAAUGGGCGAAAGCCUGAUGCAGCAACGCCGCGUGAGUGAUGAAGGUCUUCGGAUUGUAAAGCUCUGUCUUUUGGGACGAUAAUGACGGUACCAAAGGAGGAAGCCACGGCUAACUACGUGCCAGCAGUCGCGGUAAUACGUAGGUGGCGAGCGUUGUCCGGAUUUACUGGGCGUAAAGGGUGCGUAGGCGGAUGUUUAAGUGAGAUGUGAAAUACCCGGGCUUAACUUGGGUGCUGCAUUUCAAACUGGAUAUCUAGAGUGCAGGAGAGGAGAAUGGAAUUCCUAGUGUAGCGGUGAAAUGCGUAGAGAUUAGGAAGAACACCAGUGGCGAAGGCGAUUCUCUGGACUGUAACUGACGCUGAGGCACGAAAGCGUGGGUAGCAAACAGGAUUAGAUACCCUGGUAGUCCACGCCGUAAACGAUGAGUACUAGGUGUAGGAGGUAUCGACCCCUUCUGUGCCGCAGUAAACACAUUAAGUACUCCGCCUGGGAAGUACGAUCGCAAGAUUAAAACUCUAAAGUGAAUUGAC